AAGAGCCAUGUGAGAUGAAAGUUUCAUGCACGGUUUUGAAUGAGAGAAAAAAGUGAGGAAUCUUUCACAGAUUUCCUAUAGGGUCUCCUUGUAAGUGACACUUUUCUAAAU
rnacentral:ncRNA from 1 species